AGAGUUUGAUCAUGGCUCAGGAUGAACGCUAGCGGGAGGCCUAACACAUGCAAGCCGAGCGGUAGAGAUUCUUCGGAAUCUUGAGAGCGGCGUACGGGUGCGUAACACGUGUGCAACCUGCCUUUAUCUGGGAGAUAGCCUUUCGAAAGGAAGAUUAAUAUCCCAUAAUAUAUUGAUUGGCAUCGAUCGAUAUUGAAAGCUCCGGCGGAUAAAGAUGGGCACGCGCAAGAUUAGAUAGUUGGUGAGGUAACGGCUCACCAAGUCGAUGAUCUUUAGGGGGCCUGAGAGGGUGAUCCCCCACACUGGUACUGAGACACGGACCAGACUCCUACGGGAGGCAGCAGUGAGGAAUAUUGGACAAUGGGUGGAAGCCUGAUCCAGCCAUCCCGCGUAAAGGAAUAAGGGCCUAUGGCUUGUAAACUUCUUUUGUACAGGGAUAAACCUACCCUCGUGAGGGUAGCUGAAGGUACUGUACGAAUAAGCACCGGCUAACUCCGUGCCAGCAGCCGCGGUAAUACGGAGGGUGCAAGCGUUAUCCGGAUUUAUUGGGUUUAAAGGGUCCGUAGGCGGGCUUAUAAGUCAGUGGUGAAAGCCGGCAGCUUAACUGUCGAACUGCCAUUGAUACUGUAAGUCUUGAGUAUAUUUGAGGUAGCUGGAAUAAGUAGUGUAGCGGUGAAAUGCAUAGAUAUUACUUAGAACACCAAUUGCGAAGGCAGGUUACCAAGUUAUAACUGACGCUGAUGGACGAAAGCGUGGGGAGCGAACAGGAUUAGAUACCCCGGUAGUCC
rnacentral:rRNA from 1 species